GGGGGGGGGGGGGGGGGGGGUUGGCGGGUGGGGGGCGGACGGGGGGGCCCUGGUGUUGUGGGGUGCUCGAGUGGCGAACGGGUGAGUAACACGUGAGUGACCUGCCCUUGCCUUUGGGAUAACUUCAGGACACUUGGGCUCAUACCGGAUAGGCGCUCCUGCUGCAUGGUGGGGGUUUGAAAGUUUCGGCGGUUGGGUAUUGACUCUCGGCUUAUCAGCUUGUGUGUUGGUUAGUGGCUUCCCAAGGCUUGGACGGGUCGCCGGCCGGAGAGGGUGACCGGCCACAUUGGGACGGAGAUACGGCCCAGACUCCUACGGGAUGAAGCAGGGGGGAAUAUUGCACAAUGGGCGGAAGCCUGAUGCAGCAACGCCGCGUGCGGGAUGACGGCCUUCGGGUGGUAAACCGCUUUCGCCUGUGACGAAGCGUGAGUGACGGUAAUGGGUAAAGAAGCACCGGCUAACUACGUG
rnacentral:rRNA from 1 species